GACGGACGCUGGCGGCGUGCUUAACACAUGCAAGUCGAGCGGUAAGGCCUUUCGGGGUACACGAGCGGCGAACGGGUGAGUAACACGUGGGUGAUCUGCCCUGCACUUCGGGAUAAGCCUGGGAAACUGGGUCUAAUACCGGAUAUGACCUCCUAUCGCAUGGUGGGUGGUGGAAAGAUUUAUCGGUGCAGGAUGGGCCCGCGGCCUAUCAGCUUGUUGGUGGGGUAAUGGCCUACCAAGGCGACGACGGGUAGCCGACCUGAGAGGGUGACCGGCCACACUGGGACUGAGACACGGCCCAGACUCCUACGGGAGGCAGCAGUGGGGAAUAUUGCACAAUGGGCGAAAGCCUGAUGCAGCGACGCCGCGUGAGGGAUGACGGCCUUCGGGUUGUAAACCUCUUUCAGCAGGGACGAAGCGCAAGUGACGGUACCUGCAGAAGAAGCACCGGCUAACUACGUG
rnacentral:rRNA from 1 species